rnacentral:rRNA from 1 species
UACAGGGGGUGCAAACGUUGCUCGGAAUCAUUGGGCGUAAAGCGCACGUAGGCGGUUCGUUAUGUCGGAUGUGAAAGCCCUUGGCUUAACCGAGGAAGUGCAUCCGAAACUGGCGAGCUAGAGUACGAAAGAGGAUCGCGGAAUUCCCGGUGUAGAGGUGAAAUUCGUGAGAUAUCGGGAGGAACACCGGUGGCGAAGGCGGCGAUCUGGGUCGAUACUGACGCUGAGGUGCGAAAGCGUGGGGAGCAAACAGG